rnacentral:rRNA from 1 species
AUUGAACGCUGGCGGCAUGCCUUACACAUGCAAGUCGAACGGUAACGGGCCUUCGGGUGCCGACGAGUGGCGAACGGGUGAGUAAUGCAUCGGAACGUACCUUUCAGUGGGGGAUAACGUAGCGAAAGUUACGCUAAUACCGCAUAUUCUGUGAGCAGGAAAGCAGGGGAUCGCAAGACCUUGCGCUGAUUGAGCGGCCGAUGUCAGAUUAGCUAGUUGGUGAGGUAAAGGCUCACCAAGGCGACGAUCUGUAGCGGGUCUGAGAGGAUGAUCCGCCACACUGGAACUGAGACACGGUCCAGACUCCUACGGGAGGCAGCAGUGGGGAAUUUUGGACAAUGGGGGGCAACCCUGAUCCAGCCAUGCCGCGUGAGUGAAGAAGGCCUCGGUUGUAAGACU